rnacentral:rRNA from 1 species
CUUGGUGACCACAGCGGCGGGGGUACACCCGGCCACAUCCCGAACCCGGUCGUAAAGACCGCCCGCGCCGAUGGUACUGGGGGGGCAGCCCCCCGGGAGAGUAGGUCAUCGCCAAGA